UAUAAGGUGGCUGAAAAAAGCGAAAAAUUGUAAAUUUUUUUAUGAGAUUUCUCCCUUAUAA
rnacentral:tRNA from 1 species